rnacentral:rRNA from 1 species
UACAGAGGGGGCGAGCGUUGUUCGGAAUUACUGGGCGUAAAGGGCGCGUAGGCGGCCUCUUAAGUCGAACGUGAAAUCCCCGGGCUCAACCCGGGAACUGCGUCCGAUACUGGGGGGCUUGAAUCCGGGAGAGGGAUGUGGAAUUCCAGGUGUAGCGGUGAAAUGCGUAGAUAUCUGGAGGAAUACCGGUGGCGAAGGCGGCAUCCUGGACCGGCAUUGACGCUGAUGAGCGAAAGCUAGGGGAGCAAACGGG